rnacentral:rRNA from 1 species
GGGGUAUAAUUCUUCGGAAUUAGAGACCGGCGCACGGGUGCGUAACGCGUACGCAAACUACCUUUUACAGCGGGAUAGCCCAGAGAAAUUUGGAUUAAUACCUCAUAGCAUAGCAGCUUCGCAUGAAGCCGCUAUUAAAGUCACAACGGUAAAAGAUGAGCAUGCGUCCCAUUAGCUAGUUGGCGGGGUAACGGCCCACCAAGGCGACGAUGACUAGGGGAUCUGAGAGGAUGACCCCCCACACUGGUACUGAGACACGGACCAGACUCCUACGGGAGGCAGCAGUAAGGAAUAUUGGUCAAUGGAGGCAACUCUGAACCAGCCAUGCCGCGUGCAGGAAGACAGCCCUCUGGGUCGUAAACUGCUUUUAUUCGGGAAUAAACCACAUUACGUGUAAUGUGCUGAAUGUACCGAAGGAAUAAGGAUCGGCUAACUCCGUGCCAGCAGCCGCGGUAAUACGGAGGAUCCAAGCGUUAUCCGGAUUUAUUGGGUUUAAAGGGUGCGUAGGCGGCUUAUUAAGUCAGGGGUGAAAGACGGUGGCUCAACCAUCGCAGUGCCUUUGAUACUGAUGAGCUUGAAUACACUAGAGGUAGGCGGAAUGUGACAAGUAGCGGUGAAAUGCAUAGAUAUGUCACAGAACACCGAUUGCGAAGGCAGCUUACUAUGGUGUGAUUGACGCUGAGGCACGAAAGCGUGGGGAUCAAACAGGAUUAGAUACCCUGGUAGUCCACGCCCUAAACGAUGAAUACUCGCUGUUAGCGAUAUACAGUUAGCGGCUAAGCGAAAGCGUUAAGUAUUCCACCUGGGGAGUACGCCCGCAAGGGUGAAACUCAAAGGAAUUGACGGGGGCCCGCACAAGCGGAGGAGCAUGUGGUUUAAUUCGAUGAUACGCGAGGAACCUUACCCGGGCUUGAAAGUUAGUGAAUCAUUUAGAGAUAGAUGAGUCCGCAAGGACACGAAACUAGGUGCUGCAUGGCUGUCGUCAGCUCGUGCCGUGAGGUGUUGGGUUAAGUCCCGCAACGAGCGCAACCCCUAUGUUUAGUUGCCAGCACGUUAUGGUGGGGACUCUAAACAGACUGCCUGUGCAAACAGAGAGGAAGGAGGGGACGACGUCAAGUCAUCAUGGCCCUUACGUCCGGGGCUACACACGUGCUACAAUGGAUGGUACAGAGGGCAGCAAGCUGGCAACAGCAAGCGAAUCUCAAAAAGCCAUUCACAGUUCGGAUAGAGGUCUGCAACUCGACCUCUUGAAGUUGGAUUCGCUAGUAAUCGCGUAUCAGCAAUGACGCGGUGAAUACGUUCCCGGGCCUUGUACACACCGCCCGUCAAGCCAUGGAAGUUGGGGGUACCUAAAGUAUGUAACCGCAAGGAGCGUCCUAGGGUAAAACCGAUAACUGGGGCUAAGUCGUAACAAGGUA